CCAUUUUUCUUCCAAACCCUAAUCCCGCCGAACAAAGAAUAGUUUUUCCCUCUCAAUCUCAGGCUCUCACUCUCACCUAACCAUUUUUCUCUUCUUUUUUUGCUCUCAGUCAGCCACAUAAUGUUUCUUCCAAACCCUAAUCCCGCCGAAAAAUUAGUAAUAUUUCCCUCUCAAUCUCAGAUUUUCAGGCACAUAAUUUUUCUCUUCUCUUUUGCACUCAGGCACAUAAUUUUUUUUCCAUACCCUAAUCCCGCCGAACAAAUAGUAGUUUUUCCCUCUCAAAUUCUUAGUCUUAAGCUCCGACCUAACCUUCCCCUAUUUAAGAACACAAGCUCUCACUCUCACUAUCAAGACUUAUCUCUGAUUCUCAGUCUCACUCUGUAAAAAAGAAAGGCUUUCCUUUCAAGUUCUCAUGAAAUUCCUAGUACCUGAGACAGUCAAUCUCCUUUUCAUCUCCGUUCUCCACCGUGGCGGCUCUGCCACUAUGUAGUUCUGUCUUUGGGUUAAUUUAAAAGAUUCAGCUUAUAAAUCUCGAAGGCUUAAAUAGUUCCUGGAUCAUGGCUGCUUGUGCUUCUUCUUCCACCCCCUUUAUUGAGCCUACUCUUAAUUCAUGUGCUGAGGCUAAUCAACCGAAUACACAAUCUCCUAUUACACCAUCAGGUGCUGUACCCCCUCAAACACAAACAGAAACUCAACAAGCUACUAUUAAUGGUGGUAAAGAGCCUUCUAAGAUAUGGGACCAUUUCUCUAGAAUAGAGGGUUGUGACCCCCUUUACCCUAAGUCCCAGUGCAACUAUUGUAAAAAGAGUUAUAAUUGUCACCCAAAAAGAAAUGGAACCUCUGCCAUGUGGUCUCAUAUAAAAUUUGGUUGUAAGAAGUACCCCUAUAGGCGUGAUAAAGGCCGAACCACUUUGAGUUACCAAAGUAAAAAAAAAGGGGAGGGAGAGGGGGGUAAUGAGCCGGUGUUGAGAAAGUUUAGUGUGGAAAGGUUAAGGAUGGCCUUGGCUAGGAUGAUAAUUGUUGAUGAACUACCUUUUAGGUUUGUUGAGCAUAGUGGGUUCAUUGAUUUUAUGGCAGAGGUAGAGCCUAGGUUUGAAGUUCCCUCUCGGGUUACUGUUGCAAGGGAUUGUCUUAGAGUUUACAUUAGGGAGAAGGAGAGUUUGAGAAAAUUUUUAAUGGCUGGUCAAAGGGUGUGUUUGACAACUGAUACUUGGACUUCAAUCCAAAACCUUAAUUACCUUUGUUUGACUGCACAUUAUAUUGAUGUUG